rnacentral:lncRNA from 1 species
UCACCCAUAAUUCAGUAAUAGCUCUCUAUCAACGUCACCAUAAUGUGACAAGCAGCCAGAACGCCUAUCUCAAUAGCUCUUUCACGCAGUUUCCAUUCUCAAGAUCUUAAUUCCCGGUACACAAAUCAGACAAGGGAGAAUAGCAACUUGGUCUCUUUCACUCUCAAGGUUUUCCCAACUACUCGAUUCCAACAGUGAGAGUUUCACACCUCAUUCACAUCAAUCUGCCUCUGCAGUCGGUCCUCGCAAAUCUUCAUCGGAAUACUCAUGGCCAUUCGCGACCGAUUCCACAAAUCCAUCCAGAGGGCUUGGAAUUCUUAUUCCGCAAGUCCCCAACACUGGUGGAGUACCACAGGCUUAGGCAACAUCACAAUAAUUCUUGUGAUUUCCCAACCCAGCAAUAAAAUCCGUUUGAGGUACA